rnacentral:rRNA from 1 species
UACGUAGGGGGCAAGCGUUAUCCGGAAUCACUGGGCGUAAAGCGCGUGCAGGCGGGUAUGCAAGUCUGAUGUGAAAGCCCCGGGCUCAACCUGGGAAGUGCAUUGGAAACUGCAUAUCUUGAGUACUGGAGAGGAUAGUGGAAUUCCUAGUGUAGCGGUAAAAUGCGUAGAUAUUAGGAGGAACACCAGUGGCGAAGGCGGCUAUCUGGACAGUAACUGACGCUGAGGCGCGAAAGCGUGGGGAGCGAACGGG